GCUGCAGCAGCAUGUGAGCAGCAGCCUGCAGGGGGCAGCAGGGAGCUGAGCGGAGGCUGAGCUGUGUGUAAAGCUGCCUGAGUGGAUCACUUCCUGUCUCACUGCACCAGCUGACAUGUGAUGUCAUCAGAACAUAAACCUGGAGGAGCCUGGAAACGACUUGUCUUGUAAAUUGAUGCAUAAUGUCUGGAGGGCUGCAUGUAUCAUUUAUUUUGACAAAUUUACGAAAAAUAAAAUGUCAAAAUGC